rnacentral:rRNA from 1 species
CAGCAGCCGCGGGAAUACGUAGGGUGCGAGCGUUAAUCGGAAUUACUGGGCGUAAAGCGUGCGCAGGCGGUUGUGUAAGACAGGUGUGAAAUCCCCGGGCUUAACCUGGGAACUGCGCUUGUGACUGCACAGCUAGAGUAUGGCAGAGGGGGGUGGAAUUCCACGUGUAGCAGUGAAAUGCGUAGAGAUGUGGAGGAACACCGAUGGCGAAGGCAGCCCCCUGGGCCAAUACUGACGCUCAUGCACGAACGCGUGGGGAGCAAACAGGAUUAGAUACCCGGGUAGUCCCUGUCUCUUAUAU